UACGGGAGGCAGCAGUGGGGAAUAUUGCACAAUGGGCGAAAGCCUGAUGCAGCUAUGCCGCGUGUAUGAAGAAGGCCUUAGGGUUGUAAAGUACUUUCAUCGGGGAGGAAAAACAAAACUAAUAAUUUUAUUUCUUGACGUUACCCGAAAAAGAAGCACCGGCUAACUCCGUGCCAGCAGCCGCGGUAAUACGGAGGGUGCUAGCGUUAAUCAGAAUUACUGGGCGUAAAGAGCACGUAGGUGGUUUUUUUAAGUCAGAUGUGAAAUCCCUGGGCUUAACCUAGGAACUGCAUUUUGAAACUGAAAUACUAGAGUAUCGUAGAGGGAGGUAGAAUUCUAGGUGUAGCGGUGAAAUGCGUAGAUAUCUGGAGGAAUACCUGUGGCGAAAGCGGCCUCCUAAACGAAUACUGACACUGAGGUGCGAAAAGCGUGGGGAGCAAAACAGGGAUUAGAUACC
rnacentral:rRNA from 1 species